rnacentral:rRNA from 1 species
AAAUUGAAGAGUUUGAUCAUGGCUCAGAUUGAACGCUGGCGGCAGGCCUAACACAUGCAAGUCGAACGGUAACAGGAAGCAGCUUGCUGCUUCGCUGACGAGUGGCGGACGGGUGAGUAAUGUCUGGGAAACUGCCUGAUGGAGGGGGAUAACUACUGGAAACGGUGGCUAAUACCGCAUAACGUCGCAAGACCAAAGAGGGGGACCUUCUGGCCUCUUGCCAUCAGAUGUGCCCAGAUGGGAUUAGCUAGUUGGUGAGGUAACGGCUCACCAAGGCGACGAUCCCUAGCUGGUCUG